rnacentral:SRP_RNA from 1 species
GCCGGGUGUAGUGGUGUGUGCCUGUAAUCUCAGCUACUCAGGAGGCUGAGGCAGGGGAAUCGCUUGAACCCAGGAGGUGGAGGCUGCAGUGAGCCGAGAUCAUGCCACUGCACUCUAGCCUGGGUGACAGAGCGAGACUCUGUCUCGG